rnacentral:lncRNA from 1 species
UGUAAACUGAAUAAACGGUUGCUGUUUCAAGCUACUAAGUUCUGGAGAAGUUUGUCACCCAGCAGAAAUUAACUUAUACAAUACUUAACAGCCAAAUUCUCCCCUGUAGGUAUUUUACCACUUUGUAAUCCCAACAGCAACAAAUGAGAGCAUCUUUUCCUCUCUGCUGUUAGAGUAUGUCGUUGAAAUUUUGGAUUUUCCCAUCUAAAAGGUUUGUUUACAGAGCCCUUGGGCACAUCGAAUGAAGGAAGGGAGAUCAGUUAAAUCCUGAUUUCAGGCUCCGCUGACAGCUGUCCUGGCCCUGUGACGGGAGAACUCACCCAUGGAGCCAGGAGAAUGCACUUGCACAUCUCCCACCACAGGAACGUGACUGACAGAGGGCCUCAGGCCCCGCACUUUGAAGUUCACUGCUGGGCUUGUGCCAGGGCUGUUCCCAUCAGUAACUGAGCUCCUCGGAGACAGAACUCCUCUGCUCAUCGACUUUAGCUCAGGACUCCCAGCCUUCCUCACACUGCACAGAUGUCUGGGACCCUUCUCUCUCCCUUUCCCUCCUCUCUCUCUGUCCUUCACUGCAUUGAGGUCUGACGGCUCUCCAGACACUCCCAGCUUUCUCCCUAUUUCCAUUCACAGAGUCACCUCUCCUAAUAAGACCCUUGCACAUUUAGUCACCCCUCAGUGUCAGCUCCUAAGAAAAUCUUGGCUCUGUCUUUCUCUAUUCAGACAGAGCCAAG